CCCUCAGGAUAGCUCAGUUGGCAGAGCGGAGGACUGUAGAUGUAUUUAAGCGGUGAUUCGUAGGUCGCUGGUUCAAAUCUGGCUCGAGGGA
rnacentral:tRNA from 1 species